rnacentral:rRNA from 1 species
GCUCAGGAUGAACGCUAGCUACAGGCUUAACACAUGCAAGUCGAGGGGCAUCAGGAAGAAAGCUUGCUUUCUUUGCUGGCGACCGGCGCACGGGUGAGUAACACGUAUCCAACCUGCCCUUUACUCGGGGAUAGCCUUUCGAAAGAAAGAUUAAUACCCGAUGGCAUAAUGAUUCCGCAUGGUUUCAUUAUUAAAGGAUUCCGGUAAAGGAUGGGGAUGCGUUCCAUUAGGUUGUUGGUGAGGUAACGGCUCACCAAGCCUUCGAUGGAUAGGGGUUCUGAGAGGAAGGUCCCCCACAUUGGAACUGAGACACGGUCCAAACUCCUACGGGAGGCAGCAGUGAGGAAUAUUGGUCAAUGGGCGCUAGCCUGAACCAGCCAAGUAGCGUGAAGGAUGAAGGCUCUAUGGGUCGUAAACUUCUUUUAUAUAAGAAUAAAGUGCAGUAUGUAUACUGUUUUGUAUGUAUUAUAUGAAUAAGGAUCGGCUAACUCCGUGCCAGCAGCCGCGGUAAUACGGAGGAUCCGAGCGUUAUCCGGAUUUAUUGGGUUUAAAGGGAGCGUAGGUGGACUGGUAAGUCAGUUGUGAAAGUUUGCGGCUCAACCGUAAAAUUGCAGUUGAUACUGUCAGUCUUGAGUACAGUAGAGGUGGGCGGAAUUCGUGGUGUAGCGGUGAAAUGCUUAGAUAUCACGAAGAACUCCGAUUGCGAAGGCAGCUCACUGGACUGCAACUGGCACUGAUGCUCGAAAGUGUGGGUAUCAAACAGGAUUAGAUACCCUGGUAGUCCACACAGUAAACGAUGAAUACUCGCUGUUUGCGAUAUACAGUAAGCGGCCAAGCGAAAGCAUUAAGUAUUCCACCUGGGGAGUACGCCGGCAACGGUGAAACUCAAAGGAAUUGACGGGGGCCCGCACAAGCGGAGGAACAUGUGGUUUAAUUCGAUGAUACGCGAGGAACCUUACCCGGGCUUAAAUUGCAGUGGAAUGAUGUGGAAACAUGUCAGUGAGCAAUCACCGCUGUGAAGGUGCUGCAUGGUUGUCGUCAGCUCGUGCCGUGAGGUGUCGGCUUAAGUGCCAUAACGAGCGCAACCCUUAUCUUUAGUUACUAACAGGUUAUGCUGAGGACUCUAGAGAGACUGCCGUCGUAAGAUGUGAGGAAGGUGGGGAUGACGUCAAAUCAGCACGGCCCUUACGUCCGGGGCUACACACGUGUUACAAUGGGGGGUACAGAAGGCCGCUACCUGGUGACAGGAUGCUAAUCCCAAAAGCCUCUCUCAGUUCGGAUCGAAGUCUGCAACCCGACUUCGUGAAGCUGGAUUCGCUAGUAAUCGCGCAUCAGCCAUGGCGCGGUGAAUACGUUCCCGGGCCUUGUACACACCGCCCGUCAAGCCAUGAAAGCCGGGGGUACCUGAAGUACGUAACCGCAAGGAGCGUCCUAGGGUAAAACUGGU